rnacentral:rRNA from 1 species
CGCGUAGGCGGCUUGUUAAGUCGGAUGUGAAAUCCCCGGGCUCAACCUGGGAACUGCAUCCGAUACUGGCUGGCUAGAGUGUGGUAGAGGGAAGUGGAAUUCCAGGUGUAGCGGUGAAAUGCGUAGAUAUCUGGAGGAACAUCAGUGGCGAAGGCGGCUUCCUGGACCAACACUGACGCUGAGGUGCGAAAGCGUGGGGAGCAAACA